UCGGGGAGCCGGGCAGCCGCGGGGUCUUUAUGACCGCGAGGAAAGUCCGGGCUCCACGAAACAAGGGUGGCAGGUAACGCCUGCCGGGCGAGGAAGGUUUUCAGGCCUUCCGAAGCUUAGGGAAAGUGCCACAGAGAGCAAACCGCCGCGCUUCGACAGGCUCUUCAUGAGCGGGUCGAAGAAGGUAAGGGUGAAAGGGUGCGGUAAGAGCGCACCGCGCUGCCGGUAACGGUAAGCGGCUUGGUAAACCCCACCCGGAGCAAGACCGAAUAGGGGCUGCGCGUCGGCGUCGCGAAAGCGGGAGAUCGACGGGUUCGUUUCGGACCCAGGCAGCCCGGGUUGGUCGCUUGAGCGAGGCAGCAAUGUCUCGCCUAGAGGAAUGGCUGCCGCCGCGGCGUAAGGUCCCUCGGGCUUCGGCCCAUUUUGGGGAGACCACGCCAGGAACAGAACCCGGCUUACAGGCUCCCCGACGCG
rnacentral:RNase_P_RNA from 1 species